GACGAACGCUGGCGGCGUGCUUAACACAUGCAAGUCGAACGGAAAGGUCCUGCUUUUGUGGGGUGCUCGAGUGGCGAACGGGUGAGUAACACGUGAGUAACCUGCCCUUGACUUUGGGAUAUCUUCAGGAAACUGGGGCUAAUACCGGAUAGGAGCUCUUGCUGCAUGGUGGGGGUUGGAAAGUUUCGGCGGUUGGGGAUGGACUCGCGGCUUAUCAGCUUGUUGGUGGGGUAGUGGCUUACCAAGGCUUUGACGGGUAGCCGGCCUGAGAGGGUGGCCGGCCACAUUGGGACUGAGAUACGGCCCAGCCUCCAACGGGAGGCAACGGUGGGGAAUAUUGUACAAUGGGCGGGAGCCUGAUGCGGCAACGCCGCGUGCGGGAUGACGGCCUUCGGGUUGUAAACCGCAUUCGCCUGUGACGAAGCGUUAGUGACGGUAAUGGGUGAAGAAGCACCGGCUAACUACGUG
rnacentral:rRNA from 1 species